UGCCAGCAGCCGCGGUAAUACGUAGGUGGCAAGCGUUGUCCGGAAUUAUUGGGCGUAAAGGGAGCGCAGGUGGGAAUGUAAGUCAAUCUUAAAAGUGCGGGGCUCAACCCCGUGAUGGGAUAGAAACUACAUUUCUUGAGUGCAGGAGAGGAAAGUGGAAUUCCUAGUGUAGCGGUGAAAUGCGUAGAUAUUAGGAGGAACACCAGUGGCGAAGGCGACUUUCUGGACUGUUACUGACACUGAGGCUCGAAAGCUAGGGGAGCGAACGGGAUUAGAUA
rnacentral:rRNA from 1 species